rnacentral:lncRNA from 10 species
UUCUGCCGGGUUUCUCCCUGCGGCUCCUGGGUUGUUGAGACUCUUGUGAAGAUGGCUUGCGCUGCCGCGCGGUCCCCGGCCGACCAGGACAGGUUUAUUUGUAUCUAUCCUGCUUAUUUAAAUAAUAAGAAGACCAUCGCAGAGGGAAGGCGAAUCCCCAUAAGUAAGGCUGUUGAAAAUCCUACAGCUACAGAGAUUCAAGAUGUAUGUUCAGCAGUUGGACUUAACGUAUUUCUUGAGGUAUGACGUGGUUCUUCACUAUUUUCCAUACUCAUCUAAUUGAUGUAAUAACUUUCUUAAGUCCUGUUUUUCUUUUGUUUCGUUUAUGUUAGAAAAAUAAAAUGUACUCUAGAGAAUGGAAUCGUGAUGUCCAAUACAGAGGCAGAGUCCGGGUCCAGCUCAAACAGGAAGAUGGGAGCCUCUGCCUUGUACAGUUCCCAUCACGUAAGUCAGUAAUGUUGUAUGCAGCAGAAAUGAUACCUAAACUAAAAACAAGGACACAAAAAACAGGAGGUGCUGACCAAAGUCUUCAACAAGGAGAGGGAAGUAAAAAAGGGAAAGGAAAGAAAAAGAAGUAACCUAGUAUCAGCAUCAAGUAUGUGGUACUACUGUAAGAGACAUGAAUGGAGACUUCUAAUUUGUAUCGGAGGGAAACAGAAGCUUUUUGUUUGCAUCAUUUAACUGAACUGUGAACCCUUGUGCCUCUCAUCUUUAUCAUCGGAGUUGACAGUGAAACAAAUUUACAUCAGAAGUUUGCAUCUCGCG